AACGCUGGCGGCAGGCCUAACACAUGCAAGUCGAGCGCACCUUUCGGGGUGAGCGGCGGACGGGUUAGUAACGCGUGGGAAUAUACCCUUUGGUACGGAAUAGCCUCUGGAAACGGAGAGUAAUACCGUAUGAGCCCUUCGGGGGAAAGAUUUAUCGCCAAAGGAUUAGCCCGCGUUAGAUUAGGUAGUUGGUGGGGUAAUGGCCUACCAAGCCUACGAUCUAUAGCUGGUUUUAGAGGAUGAUCAGCAACACUGGGACUGAGACACGGCCCAGACUCCUACGGGAGGCAGCAGUGGGGAAUCUUGGACAAUGGGCGCAAGCCUGAUCCAGCCAUGCCGCGUGAGUGAUGAAGGCCUUAGGGUCGUAAAGCUCUUUCGCCUGUGAAGAUAAUGACGGUAGCAGGUAAAGAAACCCCGGCUAACUCCGUGCCAGCAGCCGCGGUAAUACGGAGGGGGUUAGCGUUGUUCGGAAUUACUGGGCGUAAA
rnacentral:rRNA from 1 species